GGAGCAAUGUAUUCCAUCCCGUGCUGCUGCACUUUUUUUUUCUGUAGCCUAUGCCUACAAAGGGGGAUAAGUCAAUUUUUUUAAGUGGUGAAAAAGAGGCUAAGGGGGGAAAUUACUCGUGCACAGUGCUCCCUUAUAAAGAGAUGAUCGUGUAGGUGGGACAGAACCAGACUUUUCUCAAGAUGCCCAACCACAGCAGAAGCAAGAGCUAUACUUGAUGAAAAGGAAACUUGGCUAGACAUCCCAAAAAAUCACACUGAAGAUGCAGAGUGGCUGUGAAAUCUCAAGCACUGAAGAUGUUUAAAAUUCAAGGUACAAGGUCCCAGAGAACAGGAUCUGACUUAGUGCUGUUUUGAGCAGGACUAAGGGGACUCAACAGGAGGAAAAGCAUAUACUUUCAGAGUCAUGCAAGAAGCCCAGUCACGUUAUACCAGUGGAGACUUCAGUGUGUAAGGACCGAUUUCCUCAGAGGGAGUAAACAUAAGUGAUGUCCACUGAGGUCUAUGAGAAGUGUCAAUUUUUAUUACUGCGAAGAAAUUAAAGCUCAUGUUCUUAACUCUUAAAAAAACUGUUACUGGACUGAACUACACAUGUCAGCUGGAGAAUCCUGGAAGAAGCCCGAUUUUCAAUAAAUGUGUUUCAUUCUGGUUGCUAACAGGGACAAGCAAGUGAGGAAAAAUUCAUUGCAGCAAAGUAUCACUGGAGGUUGGAUUUCAAAGAGAAAUGUGCAGCAAAGUAGUCAUCUGGAAAUAAAACUGGGUUGGAGGCACCACCUGGGUGGAGAAAAUAAACAAAUAUCAUACAAGUUUGGGAACCAGUGGCCAGGUUUCCCGACUUUCAAAGCAAGGAACAUACACAGAGGAGAAUUUAGAGUGGGAAUGAGUUACCCCCCUCUGAAUUAUUGCAUGGUUGUGCUGUUUGAUGUCAAGAGGCCUUUGCACUGCUCUGGAGUAGAUAUACCAGUAUUUUUCCUCCAAGCUCUGUCUCCCCAUCUGGCUCCACACUUGUUGGACUUGAUCUUUUUCCAACCUGAACAAUUCUAUGAUUCUACAAUUCUAUGAUGAGUAACAAGAGAUUAACUCAAAUGCUUACAUAUUUAAACUGCUGUUUGAGCAUUUCAAAAUUGAUACUUGCUUGUUCAAGACCUCAUUGCAACAAUUUCAGAAGAGGAUCUUCAGUAUAAAAUACUGAUUUCACUCAUUAUAACACCAGACCAUGACAGAAAUCUCUGACUUAGAUCUGUGCUGAACUUUGGCUUACCUUGAACAAAAUUUAAAUAUCAACAUGUUUUGUUUCCAGAGUAUCUCCAAUUAAUAAAUGCAUUCAUUUGAAAACACUUCACCUCAAGUUCCUCCAGGUCCACCUUUUAAAUAAAGGCCUAUUUUCUCUUCCUGACAUCAUUCGCAGCAAAGACAGAUAGAUUGUGUGCAGAGUUUAUUACAAGAUCGAUCAAGAUAAUUGAGGUAUAAUUUUCUCAGUGAUUUCUGUCAUCAUUUUUAAAGGCAGGGAUGAUUAUGUUUCUCUUUCACCCAUCUGGGAAAACACACAGUGUUCUCAUGUAAUUUGAACAUUUCAGCAAGGAUGUGAGACCAUCUUUUUGGAUGUAACUAAUAGCUCUGCCAUUAGGCCAUCCUCUCUCGAGACUUCAUUUUUCUUAUUAAUAAUCAUCAACACUAUCUCUUGUUCAGAAAAAAAAGAAAAAGAAAAAGAAAAGAAAGAGCCACACCUAAGACUUUUUCUCAUUGGCAUAACAGCCAAUUUCAAAUUUAAGAUGUGGCUUAUGCUUAUGACAAUUCAAAUGCUCCCUAUGAAAUCUCCAGAGAGAAUCCCUUUCUUUUUUCCCCACUUUUUUUUUUUUUUUUUAAGAAUGUUUAUUUAAGUUACUUUUGUGGGUUUUUUUUAAGGCUAUUUCAAAACUAAACUCCAAGUCCCCUAAUUUUGCUCAAGUAACCACAUGAAAUUUUCUAAUUUACACCAAUUUUUCCAUGCCAUAAUUUAAGUGAAUUAUUCUUAAUUACAUCUAACCUUUCAGUAGAACAAGAUCCUGACUGUCUACUUUGUUAUUUUUCUCUUGGUCUUUUUUUUUUUUUUUCCUUGUGUACUAUUCUGUUUUGGUAACUGUGAUAUCCUCUAUCACAAAAAGCAUUCUGAAAAGCAUCUGAAAUACAAUUUCUUUGGUCCAAUAUUCAAUAAAUUUCUGGAUCUGUGAUGGUAAUGCUCAGUUUUACUGUCAUCACCUAUAUUCCAAUCGACUGUAACCAUUAGUACUCUACCCAGGAAUUUUGUUUCAAUCACUUUCACCUCUUAACACCCGAAAGGAAUAAGGCUUCAAGUUGAAGUUUUGGCCUUUGCUUAUUACUAAGAUAAAACCAGGACAUCAAAUAGGUUAACAACACACCCAUGAUGGUAUAUUAUUGUCUAAGUAGUUUGUAUUAUUGUUUUGAAUCCUGGUUUUAUUAUUCUUCCAUAACCGACAGAGUUAAAGCAUUACUUCUGGAUAUGAGACCUGUGAUCUCCAAGGAUGUUUGUGAUGUAAAUAUACUUAAGCUUCAAGGUCCAUCUCUAAGCAUCUAUGUCCACAUUAAACAUUCUUUGUGUUAUAUAUCUAUAUACAA
ensembl:lncRNA